rnacentral:lncRNA from 1 species
UUAUUUUUAAUCAAUUUUCGGAAAUUCAGAAAUUAAAUAAAUUAAAAACCGUCACUAUAGCCCUUAGUGACAAUAAUCGUCGCUGUUGGUGUUCUUGAGCCUCAAGAAAACUGACAGGCCGGUUACCAACAUACUAAGUUUGACCAGCUAUAAAUUACAAUCUGAUAAAGUUCCGGGCUAACUAAAGCUUUGAUAUUGUAGCUAACAUGUAAUACUACAGUUAUCCUAUCUCAACUUGCUCAGACAACAACACAACAAAGCAAUCUGAG